rnacentral:lncRNA from 1 species
UUGGUUUUGCCAUAAUAUAUAUAUAUAUAUAGUUCAAAUUCAUUAACAAAUUCAUUAACAACGCAAGUCUGACAAGAGAACAUUAUGGAUAUAACUUACGAGAACGUUAUUCCUACUUGUGUUUCAUCAAGCCUAGCCUAGAAACUUUCAAUUCACCCACGAAAGAAUAAACCCAAGGGAAUGCAUCGAGACCAUCAUGAUGUAUAUACAAGUGAUGCCCCAUAAAAGGGAAAUUUCUCAAUUCCCACCUUAUGAUUCUCUCAAAUCUAAGGUCCCGUUUGGUAACGUUUUAAGGGGUUGUUUUCAUUUUCAGAGAACAAAAAUAAGGCAAAAAACACAUUCAGUAGUCCAAAAACAAAAAAACACUAAGAAUGUCAAGUUAUCUUAAUUGAAUCUUUUUUCUGGGAAUUCCAAGUUAUCUGAGGGAACAUUUCUAUAGCCCGACCAGCUUUUUUCAUCGUGCGUAGUUGCUUGGCUUUAACCCUCUAUAUAUCAUCACAGUGUCAGUAAGUAUAUGUAUAUAUGAGUCUCCAUAAAGUAUGGAAAGCUCUAUUUCCUGUAACACAUAUACAACAUGUCAACAUGCCCAUGUGAUUGUCCUCUACAAAAGCCAAUUUUCCUUUUUUCCUUCUUCUUUCAGGUCCUCCAUUUAACUAAGAAAGAUAUUUGUAUAUCACCUUUUAAAGAAAAGCAACGACCUCUCUUAAUCACCAAAUAAAGGCAGUUUGUUGGUUUUCUGCUAUAAAGAGUAAUAAAUUUGGAGCAAGCACCAUGUUUA